CUGUUUGACGAUGCUGAGUUCUUGUAACCACGUGCUGACGAAAUUUUAGUGAUAACACUUGGGCUAGAGUAGUACUGGGAUGGGUGACCUACUGGGAAGUCCUAGUGUUGGACCCU
rnacentral:rRNA from 1 species